GGCAGCUGAAUGUGCUUCACAUCUUUACCCUUGUUUCUUGUCUCUUUGCGUCCUCCACACCUGCAGCAGGUCAGAUCAGACUAGCUGGGUCUGGGUCCACUCGGUGCUCUGGAAGGGUUGAAGUCUAUCACAGUGGCUCCUGGGGAACAGUCUGUGAUGAUGACUGGG